GACGAACGCUGGCGGCAUGCCUUACACAUGCAAGUCGAACGGCAGCACGGGGCAACCUGGUGGCGAGUGGCGAACGGGUGAGUAAUGCAUCGGAACGUACCUUUCAGUGGGGGAUAACGUAGCGAAAGUUACGCUAAUACCGCAUAUUCUGUGAGCAGGAAAGCAGGGGAUCGCAAGACCUUGCGCUGAUUGAGCGGCCGAUGUCAGAUUAGCUAGUUGGUGAGGUAAAGGCUCACCAAGGCGACGAUCUGUAGCGGGUCUGAGAGGAUGAUCCGCCACACUGGAACUGAGACACGGUCCAGACUCCUACGGGAGGCAGCAGUGGGGAAUUUUGGACAAUGGGGGCAACCCUGAUCCAGCCAUGCCGCGUGAGUGAAGAAGGCCUUCGGGUUGUAAAGCUCUUUCGGCCGGGAAGAAAUCGCACGGGCUAAUACCCUGUGUGGAUGACGGUACCGGAAUAAGAAGCACCGGCUAACUACGUGCCAGCCGCCGCGGUAACAU
rnacentral:rRNA from 1 species